AGUUAACGUUGGCGGCGUGCCUAACACAUGCAAGUCGAACGCGUCCUAAGGGCAACUUUAGGAUGAGUGGCGAACGGGUGAGUAUCACGUGGGUAAUCUUCCUUCAAGUGGGGAAUAAGCUCUCGAAAGGGAGUCUAAUACCGCAUGACAUUCCGGGACACAAGUCCCGUAAUCAAAGCCGCAAGGCGCUUGAAGAUGAGCCUGCGUCCUAUUAGCUAGUUGGUGGGGUAACGGCCUACCAAGGCUUAGAUGGGUAGCCGGCCUGAGAGGGUGAACGGCCACACUGGGACUGAGACACGGCCCAGACUCCUACGGGAGGCAGCAGUGAGGUAAUUUUGCGCAAUGGGGGAAACCCUGACGCAGCGACGCCGCGUGGAGGAUGAAGGCCUUCGGGUCGUAAACUCCUGUCAGAGGUGAAGAAUACCCGCAAGGGUUUGACGGUAACCUCAGAGGAAGCCCCGGCUAACUACGUG
rnacentral:rRNA from 1 species